GUGACUGCGUACCUUUUGUAUAAUGGGUCAGCGACUUAUAUUCUGUAGCAAGGUUAACCGAAUAGGGGAGCCGGAGGGAAACCGAGUCUUAAUUGGGCGUUAAGUUGCAGGGUAUAGACCCGAAACCCGGUGAUCUAGCCAUGGGCAGGUUGAAGGUUGGGUAACACUAACUGGAGGACCGAACCGACUAAUGUUGAAAAAUUAGCGGAUGACCUGUGGCUGGGGGUGAAAGGCCAAUCAAACCGGGAGAUAGCUGGUUCUCCCCGAAAGCUAUUUAGGUAGCGCCUCGUGAAUUCAUCUCCGGGGGUAGAGCACUGUUUCGGCUAGGGGGCCAUCCCGGCUUACCAACCCGAUGCAAACUGCGAAUACCGGAGAAUGUUAUCACGGGAGACACACGGCGGGUGCUAACGUCCGUCGUGAAGAGGGAAACAACCCAGACCGCCAGCUAAGGUCCCAAAGUCAUGGUUAAGUGGGAAACGAUGUGGGAAGGCCCAGACAGCCAGGAUGUUGGCUUAGAAGCAGCCAUCAUUUAAAGAAAGCGUAAUAGCUCACUGGUCGAGUCGGCCUGCGCGGAAGAUGUAACGGGGCUAAACCAUGCACCGAAGCUGCGGCAGCGACGCUUUGCGUUGUUGGGUAGGGGAGCGUUCUGUAAGCCUGCGAAGGUGGCCUGUGAGGGUUGCUGGAGGUAUCAGAAGUGCGAAUGCUGACAUAAGUAACGAUAAAGCGGGUGAAAAGCCCGCUCGCCGGAAGACCAAGGGUUCCUGUCCAACGUUAAUCGGGGCAGGGUGAGUCGACCCCUAAGGCGAGGCCGAAAGGCGUAGUCGAUGGGAAACGGGUUAAUAUUCCCGUACUUGGUGUUACUGCGAAGGGGGGACGGAGAAGGCUAUGUUGGCCGGGCGACGGUUGUCCCGGUUUAAGCGUGUAGGUGUGUGUUCCAGGUAAAUCCGGUUCACUUUAACACUGAGGCGUGACGACGAGGCACUACGGUGCUGAAGCAACAAAUGCCCUGCUUCCAGGAAAAGCCUCUAAGCAUCAGGUAACAUCAAAUCGUACCCCAAACCGACACAGGUGGUCAGGUAGAGAAUACCAAGGCGCUUGAGAGAACUCGGGUGAAGGAACUAGGCAAAAUGGUGCCGUAACUUCGGGAGAAGGCACGCUGACACGUAGGUGAAGUGAUUUACUCAUGGAGCUGAAGUCAGUCGAAGAUACCAGCUGGCUGCAACUGUUUAUUAAAAACACAGCACUGUGCAAACACGAAAGUGGACGUAUACGGUGUGACGCCUGCCCGGUGCCGGAAGGUUAAUUGAUGGGGUCAGCGCAAGCGAAGCUCCUGAUCGAAGCCCCGGUAAACGGCGGCCGUAACUAUAACGGUCCUAAGGUAGCGAAAUUCCUUGUCGGGUAAGUUCCGACCUGCACGAAUGGCGUAAUGAUGGCCAGGCUGUCUCCACCCGAGACUCAGUGAAAUUGAACUCGCUGUGAAGAUGCAGUGUACCCGCGGCAAGACGGAAAGACCCCGUGAACCUUUACUAUAGCUUGACACUGAACAUUGAGCCUUGAUGUGUAGGAUAGGUGGGAGGCUUUGAAGUGUGGACGCCAGUCUGCAUGGAGCCGACCUUGAAAUACCACCCUUUAAUGUUUGAUGUUCUAACGUGGACCCGUUACCCGGGUUGCGGACAGUGUCUGGUGGGUAGUUUGACUGGGGCGGUCUCCUCCUAAAGAGUAACGGAGGAGCACGAAGGUUGGCUAAUCCUGGUCGGACAUCAGGAGGUUAGUGCAAUGGCAUAAGCCAGCUUGACUGCGAGCGUGACGGCGCGAGCAGGUGCGAAAGCAGGUCAUAGUGAUCCGGUGGUUCUGAAUGGAAGGGCCAUCGCUCAACGGAUAAAAGGUACUCCGGGGAUAACAGGCUGAUACCGCCCAAGAGUUCAUAUCGACGGCGGUGUUUGGCACCUCGAUGUCGGCUCAUCACAUCCUGGGGCUGAAGUAGGUCCCAAGGGUAUGGCUGUUCGCCAUUUAAAGUGGUACGCGAGCUGGGUUUAGAACGUCGUGAGACAGUUCGGUCCCUAUCUGCCGUGGGCGCUGGAGAACUGAGGGGGGCUGCUCCUAGUACGAGAGGACCGGAGUGGACGCAUCACUGGUGUUCGGGUUGUCAUGCCAAUGGCACUGCCCGGUAGCUAAAUGCGGAAGAGAUAAGUGCUGAAAGCAUCUAAGCACGAAACUUGCCCCGAGAUGAGUUCUCCCUGAGACUUAGAGUCUCCUGAAGGAACGUUGAAGACGACGACGUUGAUAGGCCGGGUGUGUAAGCGCAGCGAUGCGUUGAGCUAACCGGUACUAAUGAACCGUGAGGCUUAACCUU
rnacentral:rRNA from 1 species